UACGAAGGGGGCUAGCGUUGUUCGGAAUUACUGGGCGUAAAGCGCGCGUAGGCGGACGCUUAAGUCAGGGGUGAAAUCCCGGGGCUCAACCCCGGAACCGCCUUUGAUACUGGGCGUCUGGAGUCCGGAAGAGGUUGGUGGAAUUCCGAGUGUAGAGGUGAAAUUCGUAGAUAUUCGGAGGAACACCAGAGGCGAAGGCGGAUCUCUGGGCCUUACCUGACGCUCAGGCGCGAAAGCUAGGGGAGCGAACAGG
rnacentral:rRNA from 1 species